AGAGUUUGAUUAUGGCUCAGGAUGAACGCUAGCUACAGGCUUAACACAUGCAAGUCGAGGGGCAGCAUGGUGUUGCUUGCAACAACCGAUGGCGACCGGCGCACGGGUGAGUAACGCGUAUCCAACCUGGCCCUUAGUAGGGGAUAGCCCGGCGAAAGUCGGAUUAAUACCCUAUGUUUUCCGUUGCGGACAUCUAAGAUGGAACAAAGGCUUGCCGCUAAGGGAUGGGGAUGCGUCUGAUUAGAUGGUAGGCGGGGUAACGGCCCACCUAGUCGACGAUCAGUAGGGGUUCUGAGAGGAAGGUCCCCCACAUUGGAACUGAGACACGGUCCAAACUCCUACGGGAGGCAGCAGUGAGGAAUAUUGGUCAAUGGUCGAGAGACUGAACCAGCCAAAGUAGCGUGCAGGAAGACGGCCCUAUGGGUUGUAAACUGCUUUUAUGCGGGGAUAAAGUUGGGGACGUGUCCCUUUUUGUAGGUACCGCAUGAAUAAGGACCGGCUAAUUCCGUGCCAGCCGCUGC
rnacentral:rRNA from 1 species